GGACCGAUGCUUCUGCCCGUGAUUUGAGACGAUGUGGGGCGACGUAAAGUACACACAGGUAUGUCAUACGAACGACUACGCGCAACGCGAAGUGUUCUAUUUGCAGCAAAUGGGGUUGGAGUGAAACAACUGGUUUCCGAACAACGCGUUCAACAGCCGAGCCUUUCUGCUGCACUGCAUUUAGAACCGGGAUAAGAAUGCGGUAUACAGUUAAUUAAACGCGCAUAUAUGGGAUAAACGGUUUAGUACACACGGUGCUCGACCCCUACAUAAUGCAGACCAUAAAGCGUUUUGAAAAAAAAUUAAAUAUAAGGCAAUCUUCUAGCUGGAAAGAACGGCUCAAAAAUCCCCACCUCGCUGUCGCCAUUUUGGAACAAACAAUUUUUCAGAUGGUGCUGCGCUCUGUGAACGCGGCUCAAGAUUACGUAUUUUCGUCGCAAAGUUUGAGCGCGACACGUUCAUUGUAUUCAAAUUGACCGUAGAAUAUAAUAACGCACAUGUACGCGAAUUAUUUCAAAUGAAAUCAAGAAUGACUCGAAGUUUGCUGAAGCGUAGCCAAGGUCUCAUGGGUCUCAGGAAUAUUGAUUAACUUGCGAUUAUUUACCACGCGAAACUUUGUUUUACUUCGGUUGUUAUCAAAUUCAAUGGCAACUAGAUCUUUCGAUACUGUCAGGCUAUACGUCAAAAAGGAAACGAAAGGGUGUAAAAUGAUUCUCGUAAAGAAUAAUUUUGUCGAGAAAUUUAUGCCAAAAGCCUAACUGCAUCAUGCCGAAAAUACUUCACAGCAAUGAUAAGAAUAUCGAUGAUCACAAGUAUGUAAAUCACACGUGAUAUGAUGACACUAAAUUAUUCAGGAUUAUUUUGGCAACGAAUUCGUGAAUAAUGAAUAUAAAUUAGCAAUGGAAAUUUCUCUCUUAGUUUUAGAAAUACUUUUCUUACUAAAUUAAUUUUUGAAAGUAUAACUGCAUAUCGUUGGAUCGAUUGAUUUCUACGCUAGCAUCUACGAGUAACCGUUUAUUCGAAACAACUCAUUUACAGAACAAUCCAUUCGAUUUUGAAUGAAAAUUGGUCAAAAACCCAUUAUACCUGUAUACAUGCGUGUAUAUGUAUAUUAUAAAAAUAUAUCUGUAUUUAUUUACGUAUAUAAUUAUAAAAAAUACAAAUUCAUAGAAAAUAGCACCUAUACCUUUGUUAGGAAUGAAUGAAUGUUGUAAAUAAGACAGAUAUGAACCCAUAACACCUCUAACGUUAUGAUAAAAUCAAGUAACAAGGGUAAAGUUCUAUUCGUUCAACAUAAUUAAUUGAUAAUAUAAUUAUAACAAGGCUUGAUCUUCAAAUUCCAGUAUACCGAAAUACGUUGAUCUUUGAUGUAAUCAUAUUUUGUCAUGUAACAACUGGAAAAUAUAUACUAUAAUUAUCGAUUAUUCUUAUCAUAUCCCAUAGGUAUUAUAUUACCAGUGUAUAAACUGAUCCUGAAAUUCCCAACAAAUACAUGAUAUACAUAUAUUAUAAGUAAAAUUCAUGUAAACUUGCUAACUUCACUGUUCAUGUGUGAAUUCAAAAUCCCUUUGGAACACCUACAAAUUUGUUCAUUUUAUUUCAACUUUUAGUCGAACUAAUAUCACUGCUCCAAGAUAGUUCCGAAUUUGAAUGUGACUUUCAUUUUUUAGAGUAUCCCUGCAAUAUUACCAAUAGACUUUAUUACAAUUUUGAUCUAAUAAGCUCGAUUUUCUUUGCCGCCCUCUUCUGUAAGUCAGGUAGCUUCAUAGCCAGGCCCAUAUUCCCUUUGAUCUUUAC
rnacentral:lncRNA from 1 species